CUGUGCACCUCCAAAGGUCAGUACUGCGCUCCUGUGAGGUCUGUGCAAAAGGCCUAGCUGGACUCAGGAUAGCACCGGCCCCCUUGGCCUCAGGCAACAAAACGCCUUCGAGCCGGUCCCGAGGACAGCGGGAGAGCAAGGAGCGUGCAGGACACAAGGGAAGCCCUUGCUACCGUUGCCUUGCGAAGACCUCCCCGUGCAGGGAAAGCCCUUCCCCUCCCGCCGGCGUGUUGCUUUGGGUCGGGAAAGCGAGAAGGAGCCUGGCGUAGCAGGAGCAGGGCGCGCGCCGCCCUCCUCAGACAAAGGGCGGCGUGGAACCGCGUCGAGUUUGCUGAUGCUUGCCUGUGCCAUGCUCCGGCUUCCUCUGCAAAUAACAUGACUGCAGGAUUAGGACGCCCCCUGCUCCGAGUUCCUGCUGUUUCCUUCUCUGGCUCCAGAUCGAAGCAGUCCUGCCUCCCGGCAAGCGAUGCAUUCCCCUAACAACCUGCUGCGUGUUUCCAGACCCCUCUGGAUAUAUUACUCUGCACAUGCUCGCUAAAACAAGGACCUUAAGUUACCUCGCAGCCGCUGAGGAAAGGAAGCCUGCUGAACAAGAGUAAAAAUAGACCCGGCAGUUACUCAGCGCCUGAGAACAUGAUGACAUGACUCAUGAGUGGGCACGGGGAUGUCAGAAGAAGAAGAAGAGUUUGGAUUUGAUAUCCUGCUUUAUCACUACCCUAAGCAGUCUCAAAGUAGCUAACAAUCUCCUUUCCCUUCCUCC